AAGUCGUAACAAGGUCUCCGUUGGUGAACCAGCGGAGGGAUCAUUAUAGAGUUUUUAACUCCCAACCCAUGUGAACUUACCUUUGUUGCCUCGGCGGGGCCUACCCGGUACCUACCCUGUAGCCCGCCGAUGGAUUUUCAAACUCUUGUUAUUUUAUGUUAUCUGAAUGUCUUAUUUAAUAAGUCAAAACUUUCAACAACGGAUCUCUUGGUUCUGGCAUCGAUGAAGAACGCAGCGAAAUGCGAUACGUAAUGUGAAUUGCAGAAUUCAGUGAAUCAUCGAAUCUUUGAACGCACAUUGCGCCCAUUAGUAUUCUAGUGGGCAUGCCUGUUCGAGCGUCAUUUCAACCCUUAAGCCUAGCUUAGUGUUGGGAAUCUACUUUGAGCGGUGCUACCCUGUAGCUACCCUGUAGUUCCCCAAAUUGAACGGCGGAUCUGCAGUAUCCUCUGAGCGUAGUAAAUUUUUAUCUCGCUUUUGUCAGGUGCUGUAGCUCUUGCCGCAAAACCCCCCAAUUUUAAUGGUUGACCUCGGAUCAGGUAGGAAUACCCGCUGAACUUAA
rnacentral:rRNA from 1 species